rnacentral:rRNA from 1 species
GCCAACGAUCAUACCACGUUGAAUACACCAGUUACCGUCAGAUCACUGAAGUUAAACAGCGUCGGACGUGGUAAGUACUUGGAUGGGUGACCGCUUGGGAACACCACGUAUCGUUGGCUCAU